CUGUUAAAGGAGGAAAAACACAUAUAAAGGAAACUCAAAAACCACCAAAACCAUGCAAAGCAGGUGACAUCUUUAAAACAGACCUAUGAUCAGGAAAAAAUGCGGUUUUCAUGAAGAGUUUGUUCAUUAUCUUAAAUAUGCCUUAAUAAUCUACAAACGGGAACCUGGAGUGGAACAAGUGAUUAAUUUUGUGGCCAAGUUCAUUGCUUCCCUUUAUGAGCCAUUAGAAGAUGAAGAGGAAGAAACAGAAAAUUUGCUUCUGAAUUAUUUGUUCUGCUUUCUGCUUGAGGUACUUUACGAAAAUCUGAUAAUGGAUAGACAUUUUGGUAAUACAGAAGGAGCAACCCUACACCUGAACCUGGAAUUUUCCAAAAUCUACAACUUUUUGCAAGUCAAUUGCCUGUUUCUACCUUUGAGCCAAUAGCUGUGAAGCACUUGAUCAUUAUUUCACAAGGCAGACUAAAGGUGUUUCUGGAUGGUAUCAGCCAUGCAGCCAAACCGGGAUGGAAGGAGUGAGGGCCUCAUUCAAGCAGAGUCCUUUGGUUCACAGGGUACCCUGACUAGGGGAAAAGGAGGAGUAUGGACGCACAAUGGAAACAGCAGUCCAAGGCAGAAGUCAUGGAGACGUUGUGUGAGCGGCUGAAGAGGGAGAGUUAUUAUAUUUAUGUAUACACUGUUUUAUCUCUCCCAAAG
rnacentral:lncRNA from 11 species